CCCCCAAUUGACAGUUGCCACUUUCCAUUAGAUGGAUGUUACCACACUUCCACUCAAAGAUACUAGAGGAGCUCCUCUAGUAUCUUUGCUUCCACUUGCAUCGGUUGCCAUGGAGAUAGGAUGGAUGGACUCCCCGUGUCUCCCUCAGCCCGUCAACCAACUGCUGAGGUGGAUGCCGGGAGCACAGCAAAAUUCUCGAUUGGAACCUCGAUUUCCUGACAGACAGAAUCAGUGAGGAUAGGGGACAAACCAUCCUCUACGAUAAUCCUCAACACAGGUUCCCCGCAAGGAUGGGAGAGUCGACUUUGAUGCGAUAGACUUGGGUGAAGGAGUAAUCGCUCCCAAGAAUGGCAUACUGCCAUCCGUUUAUUCGAAGAGGCUGGAAGACCAUGGCACCGCGGGAGGGAAAGGUCUGCUUUUCCACAAACCUUGAGGUCUCCCA